rnacentral:rRNA from 1 species
UACGUAGGGGGCAAGCGUUGUCCGGAUUUAUUGGGCGUAAAGAGCUCGUAGGUGGUUCGGUAAGUCGGAUGUGAAAUCUCCAGGCUCGACCUGGAGGGGUCAUUCGAUACGUGCCGUGACUAGAGGUCGGUAGGGGAGUGUGGAAUUCCUGGUGGAGCGGUGAAAUGCGCAGAUAUCAGGAGGAACACCCGUAGCGAAGGCAGCUCGCUGGGACGGUAGCUGACGCUGAGACGCGAAAGCGUGGGGAGCAAACAGG